rnacentral:rRNA from 1 species
AUUGAACGCUGGCGGCAUGCUUUACACAUGCAAGUCGAACGGUAACAGGCCGCAAGGUGCUGACGAGUGGCGAACGGGUGAGUAAUGCAUCGGAACGUGCCCAGUCGUGGGGGAUAACGCAGCGAAAGCUGCGCUAAUACCGCAUAAGAUCUAUGGAUGAAAGCGGGGGAACGUAAGGCCUCGCGCGAUUGGAGCGGCCGAUGUCAGAUUAGGUAGUUGGUGGGGUAAAGGCUCACCAAGCCAACGAUCUGUAGCUGGUCUGAGAGGACGACCAGCCACACUGGGACUGAGACACGGCCCAGACUCCUACGGGAGGCAGCAGUGGGGAAUUUUGGACAAUGGGCGCAAGCCUGAUCCAGCAAUGCCGCGUGCAGGAAGAAGGCCUUCGGGUUGUAAACUGCUUUUGUACGGAACGAAACGGUCCUGGUUAAUACCUGGGGCUAAUGACGGUACCGUAAGAAUAAGCACCGGCUAACUACGUGCCAGCCGCCGCCGUAACAC